UACCAGCUCCCCGAGUGGUGGGGACUAUUAUUGGGCCUAAAGCGUCCGUAGCCUGCUUGACAAGUCUUCCGUUAAAUCCACCGAUCCAAUCGUUGGGCCGCGGGAGAUACCGUUAGGCUAGGGGGCGGGAGAGGCUGAUGGUAUUCUUAGGGUAGGGGUGAAAUCCUAUAAUCCUAAGAGGACCACCAGUGGCGAAGGCGGUCAGCUAGAACGCGCUCGACGGUGAGGGACGAAAGCUGGGGGAGCGAUCCGGAUUAGAUACCCGGGUAGUCCCAGCUGUAAACGAUGCGAGCUAGGUGUUGGGGUGGCUACGUGCCACUUCAGUGCCGCAGGGAAGCCAUUAAGCUCGCCGCCUGGGGAGUACGGCCGCAAGGCUGAAACUUAAAGGAAUUGGCGGGGGAGCACCACAAGGCGUGAAGCUUGCGGUUC
rnacentral:rRNA from 1 species